AGGACGAACGCUGGCGGCGCGCCUAACACAUGCAAGUCGAGCGCGAAAGGACUUCGGUCCGAGUAGAGCGGCGCACGGGUGAGUAACACGUGAGUAAUCUGCCCCCGAGCCUGGAAUAACAUUCCGAAAGGAGUGCUAAUGCCGGAUAAGACCACGUCGACCUCGGUCGAUGUGAGAAAAGGCGGGGUCCGAAAGGACCUGUCAUUUGGGGAUGAGCUCGCGGCCUAUCAGCUAGUUGGCGGGGUAAUGGCCCACCAAGGCGAAGACGGGUAGCUGGUUUGAGAGGAUGAUCAGCCACACUGGAACUGAGACACGGUCCAGACUUCUACGGAAGGCAGCAGUGGGGAAUUUGCGCAAUGGGCGAAAGCCUGACGCAGCGACGCCGCGUGCGGGAUGACGGCCUUCGGGUUGUAAACCGCUUUCAGCAGGGACGAUUAUGACGGUACUGCAGAACGAAGCCCGGCCAACUACGUGCCAGCAGCCGC
rnacentral:rRNA from 1 species